AUUGAACGCUGGCGGCAGGCUUAACACAUGCAAGUCGAGCGGGGGAAGGUAGCUUGCUACCGGACCUAGCGGCGGACGGGUGAGUAAUGCUUAGGAAUCUGCCUAUUAGUGGGGGACAACAUUUCGAAAGGGAUGCUAAUACCGCAUACGUCCUACGGGAGAAAGCAGGGGAUCUUCGGACCUUGCGCUAAUAGAUGAGCCUAAGUCGGAUUAGCUAGUUGGUGGGGUAAAGGCCUACCAAGGCGACGAUCUGUAGCGGGUCUGAGAGGAUGAUCCGCCACACUGGGACUGAGACACGGCCCAGACUCCUACGGGAGCCAGCAGUGGGGAAUAUUGGACAAUGGGGGGAACCCUGAUCCAGCCAUGCCGCGUGUGUGAAGAAGGCCUUAUGGUUGUAAAGCACUUUAAGCGAGGAGGAGGCUACUUUAGUUAAUACCUAGAGAUAGUGGACGUUACUCGCAGAAUAAGCACCGGCUAACUCUGUGCCAGCCGCCGCCGUAAAAC
rnacentral:rRNA from 1 species